rnacentral:rRNA from 1 species
ACGCUCGACACCUACGGGGNGGUAGCAGUGGGGGAAUAUUGCACAAUGGGGGAAACCCUGAUGCAGCGACGCCGCGUGGAGGAAGAAGGUCUUCGGAUUGUAAACUCCUGUUGUUGGGGAAAAAGAGGAUGGUACCCAACAAGGAAGUGACGGCUAACUACGUGCAAGCAGCCGACGGUAAUCUGAGGCGGGGCUCGGGACAAGGC